UUUUUUUUUUUUUUUUUUCAAACUUUUAUUAUGAGGCCAUAUUAGGGAAUUCCAGAAAAUCUAGUGUUUAUUAAAUAUUUCAAGACUCUGCUAGUGAGGAAUCUUUUAAUCACAGUUGACAGAAACCCAAUUUAAACUAGCAAAACAAGUGGGAAUUUAUUAAUUCACAUAAUUGAAAAGUUAGUGUGUAGACUGGUUCAGCUAAAGCUGGACCUAGGUACUCAAAUGAUCUGGUUGUGUUUCUGUUUCCACUUCUCUUUCUCUGCUCUGCUUGUAUCCACUUCUCUUUGCAUGUUAGUGUCACUCUUUCCUACUGUAGAUACUCUUUCCAUAUCCUAGGAAAGGCAGCUUCUGGUGGGCCUAGGCCAACAUCCUUACAACUUGCUAACAUAAAUGAAGAGAAUAGUCUUCCCUCAGUAGAUCCAGGAGAAGAACCCCCCAGGGGCACCUUUGUAGCCCAGAUUGGACAAACUGCCCAUCCCUAAACCAGCCACUGUAACUGGAGGAAUGCAAUACUACAGCUGGCCCACUGCAGGUCACUGCCCACGUGUGAAGGCAGGAGGAGGCACAAGUCACCUUCAUGGACAGCCCCACCAGGAUCACACCAGGUAGGGGAGCAGGUUCCCAAAGGAGAAAGAGGAGGAUGGGAGAGUAUGCGCAGCACAUGACAGCUAUAACUAGCACAGUUGAUCUCCCAGCUAUUUGGAAGACUCCCUUCCAUCUCAGCAGUGGGGAUACAUCACCACAGGCCCCAGACAGUUACUGGGGAAGCACUGCAGAUGGAUGACAAUUCUCCUGCAAUAUAUAAUGAUGAGAAAUACACUAAAGACACUUUCAAAUCAGCAUCCAAAAACCCUCCUGACAAAGAUUUUUUUCCCAAUGCUCAAAAUGGAAGACCCUAUUGAAUUCUAAAAUAGAGAAGCAGAGCAACCAAUCGCUCCCCAGUUCCUCCCCUAGUAAUAAGAGUCACCUGGUUUAGCUCUUGUGUCUUACAUUAGCAUAUCUGAAAUCUGGUCAUUUAAAAUUAGAUCGUAAAUGGAACAAGCAUCCAUAUGGCACUGAGGAUGUGCCAGGCACUAUUCUAAGUGUGUUACAUAUAGUAAUACUUGCAACAACCCCGUGAAGCAUGACCUACUAUUAUUUCCAUUUAUGGCUGAAGAUGUCAGAGCACAGACAGGUCACACCACAUGUAAGAUUUGAAUCCAGGUGGUUUGAUCCAGAGUCUGUGCUCCUUACUCCAAGGUUAGACACAGAACCUCUACUCCAGAUAGGUCAUAAUGCAAAAAUGGUGAGCAAGGGAACAGGAAAAAAGGGACACACUGAAAAAGAAGAGUCUGCAACAGAAUAAAUAAGCAGAUAUAAUAUUAGUAACAUAACCUAGACACUGAACUGUCAGCUCAGAAGCAUAAGCCUGUCCGCGUAGCCCCAACAUUGUCUAUGGAGGGUGUGAGCAGUCUGGUUUAACAAAUCCAGGUUAAAGACUCAUCACAUUCUACUGGCAUGAAAAUAUCCUCCCCUUUUCCACAGAUGCUGUGCCCAUAAAGGCAGCCUGGUGUCUGGAGAUAACCUCACCACAUAGUGCCCGAUACAAUGUCGGGUACAUUGUCAUGCUCAAUAGCAUUCCUUUAAUUUUCCUUAGGAGAACCAUAAGAGCUGAAAAACUAGAUUCAAGGAUCAAGUAUUAAUUGAGUACCUACUAUGUACCAGACCCUGGGCUGGGCCCUGAGGACACAGCAAUGAUGAGACAGGCACAGCUAUGCACCCACAGUAUCUUCCACUAAGCCUGGCUCAUCCCAUACUUAAGCUGAGGUUAACCAGAAUUUUUGGCAUCUUUUAUAAGCAGCCCUGAUAUCUGGAUGAUAUACACCUGUACAGACAUACUGCUUGGUAAAAUACUGAAAUAUUUUGUACUACUUGAUAAACAGUCACUGCCUAAGUCUCUGGGGUAUCUCACCACUACCCCCACCCUGCCCUGACCCCACUCUUAGGAACCCCAAACAUUCCCCAUGAUCCAUCAACUGGGGGGCAGCUCAGGCCUGACAGGGGACCCCCAGGUCCCCAUUCCAGCGUAUGUCCUACAUUCAUUCUGAUUGGUGGGUAUCAAUGCCCCUGCUUGUAAUCACUAAAAGUAGCCCCAAAUCCCCCUUUCCACAAGCUUUUAACUCAUACUUUUCUGGUUGACUGCCAGGUCUCUUUAGAAACAGUAGGUCUUUAUUUUUAAAAAAAUAAAAUAAUAAAAUAAAGGAGAAUCAUCAGACACACAAUGUGACAAUUAGCAACUGUCUGGCAAUGACUUGCUGAUUCAGAGGACAUCAUGCCAAGAUGGGACCAAAUUACCUCCUCCUCCUCUGCCACCCACUGCAGCUUCUAUCAGCAGAUACCUUCAGAACAGAGGCCCCAGUGACAGGGACCCAGAUGGCCCAGCAACCAAGGGAACGGGCAGGACCUUCUCACCUCCCCUGGCCUCUCACAGACACAGACUCCUGCUGGCUGUGUCAGUCACGAAAGAGUGCAAACAACACCACUCAGGGAGUUUCACCCAUCUGCUCACAUGACACCUUGGUUGCUGGGAAAUCCCUGUACCUAUCCAGGUGCCAGGAAAGAUCAGGAUGGGCCCUGACAGAGAUCUUCAAAACCAGACUCAAACGCAGUAGGGUUCCCCAUGAACACUUUGUUCUCAACCUUGGCUGCCCCUUAGAAUCACUCAGGAAUGCUUUUAAGAUAUAGAUGCCAGGCCCCAGCCAAUUCCAUUAGCAGAUCCAGUGGGGCCUGCCAUGGCUUAGGGGACUCCAGAUAUGGGAACUGCCUCCAAGGGUCAGUCAGAUGGAUCCCUGGGGUUCCUCUCUCCUGUAUAAGUCAGUAGCCCAAAAGGGGAAUGUCCAGACAUCAUUCUGGCUCCAGGUUCCCCCUCCCACCCUGCCCACAUGCUCAUACAGCAGAUGGAGCUCUGAGAGGUGCCUCCUUUCCACUGGGGGAAAGGUCCUGGGAAUAAAGGGUUCUGGCAUUUUGCCCACACAUGGUAGCUGGACAGUAAGGACAAGAAAGAUAUUUAUUCAAAUCCUAAUAUGACACUGUGAGUUUAUUAGCAUCAUUCAGUAUAAUAUUUUAGAGAUUUCUGGGUUUUUUUUUUCUAACUGCUAACUAAAAUUUUUAAAUAUCUAGAAAUUAAUAUUUAAAAGUUGACUUCUCUUUUUUUUUCCUUUUUCUUUUUUUUUUUUUUUUUUAAUUUUUGAGACGAAGUCUGGCUCUGUUGCCCAGGCUGGAGUGCAGUGGCACAAUCUUGGCUCACUGCAACCUCCACCUCCAGGUUCAAGCAAUUCUCCUGCCUCAGCCUCUUGAGUAGCUGGGAAUGCAGGUGUGCACCACCACGCCCAGCUAAUUUUUGUAUUUUUAGUACAGACAAGGUUUCAUCACGUUGGCCAGGCUGGUCUCGAACUCCUGACCUCAGGUGAUCCACCCUCCUUUGCCUCCCAAAGUGCUGGGAGCAGGCAUGAGCCACCGUGCCCCGCCUACAAAGCUGACUUCUCAAAGACAAUACCAUACAAAAGAACAAAACAUAAUAUAAAUGAGCCCCUGUUGUUUCUGAGCCGUUUGCCAAAGUACCCUGUCCUUUAUUCAGCAAAGAGGUCCUUGUCCGUGCACAUCGAAGUCGACUGACAGAGCCAGAAGGGAGAACAGUGGCGACAGAAGACAAACCACUUUGGGAGCAAGUCCCCCAGGCACUCCUUCCUGGCACAGAUCCUGAAAUCAUGCUCCUCCCAUGAGGCUGCCCAGAUUGGCAGCAAACCAGGCCAUUGAGCUCAAGAACCUCCAAAGGUCUCAUUUCUAAAGAAGGAUCACAUUUCCUGUGUUGCUGACAAGGAUUAUAAGGUGCAGUGAGGUAAAGGGGCCAAGUCAAUGGGCAAAUGUCUUUUUAGGGCAAAAAAAAAAAAAAAAAAAAAAAAA
ensembl:lncRNA